UAUUCCUGUUCAUUUAUUUUAUAAGUGAAAAGUUUAAAGUUAAGUUUGUUGAAGACGGAUUUAAACUAUUAAUUAUUCAUUAUACAGGUAAGAACCUAAACUUUAAACCCUAACUAAAACUCUCCUCGUAAUAUCGUUUGUGGAAAAAAAAAAAAAAAAAAAAAAAAAAAAAACACACAUAAACAUUGGCACUGGCACUCCCUCGCUAAUCAGUCGACGCCGUAAGUGUUGGACAAAAUCCAUAAGUGAGUUCGUCAAAUAUAUAGAUGAGGUACGUGAAGCCGCUGAACUUGUUCCAGGAUCUGGUCAAGGCCAAUACUCUGGAACGCGGGCGGUUGCUGGGUUUGGACGUCGGCGACAAGUACGUCGGCGUAGCCGUUUCGGAUCUUCAUAACAAGAUUGCGUCGCCCUUGAGUGUUCUGUUGAGGAAGAAAUCAAAUAUUGGUUUGAUGGCUGCCGAUUUUCAGAGUUUGAUUUCUGAGCUUUCUCUGGUGGGCUUCAUUGUUGGAUACCCGUUCGACAGACAAAAAGGGACUCCUGAUGCUGUCCAAGUGAAGCUUUUCAUUGACGACCUCUCUAAGACAAGAAAACUGGAAGGCUUAAAGUAUACAUAUUGGGACGAGGGAUUUACGUCAAAGAAUGUGGAACUACUGUUGAAGCCUUUGAAUCUGCCUCCAGUUCAGUCCAAGACAAUUAUGGACAAGUUUGCUGCUGUCGGUAUACUCCAGGGAUACUUGGAUUAUGUGAACAGAGAGCUGAAGUCUGACGUCACUCGGUAAAGUGUCUCUGAAUGGAUAUAGCUGUUUCUUACUUGUUCAUGACAGAGCGAUUACGUUACGACUGCACUCAAGAUACACUCUGCGGAUCACCUAUCAUAGAAGAAUUGAAUUGACCGGUACCACUGUACCACAUUAUAUUUUUCAGGCAUGAGCUGCGUAUUGCGCAUAUCAACUCAUCACAUCCGCUGGUUUUUAAUCUACAAAAAUGGAGGGCUGAGGUUUGUUGUAAGGGAGCUGCAACGUUUUGUCACGCAGAUGGAAAAAUGUUCUCUUUACCAGGGCGGAAUCAAGGAUGCUUCUGGUGUGGAUGCUUGGAUUUGCACUGAUAUCCGGUGUGAAGUUGUGGAACUUGAUCUCGGACUAUCUUCAUCCGUGUGUCUUAAGUUGCGUAGAUGCCUUUUCGAGUGCAAAACAUUGGCGGUUUAGAAACUGUUUCUCAAUUACCUCCAUGUUCGAUUUUCACAAAAGUUUAUGCCCGCGAGGUGUGGCAGAUUGAAAAACUCGUCAUAAUGUCAUGUCAGUUUAUAAAUUAACUAAAGGAGUGCGUCAACACCCAA